GGUAUUAAAUUUAUUUAUGUUUUCGUUAUAAAUUCACGCAAAAUCUUUGUUUUGUUGGUCAUUAAUAUGUAAGAAAUAAAGAGAAAAUGUUUUAUUUUUGUUUUGACGCGUCGGCGCGAUGACGUCAUUGACGUGCGUUGCCGCGAUGACGUCAGUGACAUAGCGCGCGCUUUGCUUCAGUCUGUCGGAGGACAGAGCAGAGCGAGCAGUAGCAGGCGUAAGAGGAGUUUUAAGAGAAGACUAACUGCAUGUUCUCUGUUUGUGCAGCACUUAAAUAAAUGAGACCGCUGAACCUGCAGACAGACUCCAGCUCUUUACUUUACACAACACAACACAACGCAGAGGGGUAGUCGAGCCGUUAAGACCGGCCCCG